rnacentral:rRNA from 1 species
GAUGAACGCUGGCGGCGUGCCUAAUACAUGCAAGUCGAGCGAACGGACGCGAAGCUUGCUUCUCUGAUGUUAGCGGCGGACGGGUGAGUAACACGUGGAUAACCUACCUAUAAGACUGGGAUAACUUCGGGAAACCGUAGCUAAUACCGGGUAAUAUUUUGAACCGCAUGGUUCAAAAGUGAAAGACGGUCUUGCUGUCACUUAUAGAUGGGUCCGCGCUGUAUUAGCUAGUUGGUAGGGUAACGGCCUACCAAGGCAACGAUGCAUAGCCGACCUGAGAGGGUGAUCGGCCACCCUGGAACUGCGACACGGUCCAGACUCCUACUGGAGGCAGCAGUAGGGAAUCUUCCGCAAUGGGCGGAAGCCUGACGGAGCAACGCCGCGUGAGUGAUGAAGGUCUUCGGAUCGUAAAACUCUGUUAUUAGGGAAGAACAUAUGUGUCAGUAACUGUGCACAUCUUGACGGUACCUAAUCAGAAAGCCACGGCUAACUACGUG